AGUGGGACUCCUGCUCUCUUUUACAUCAUGAGGUGUUGUGAAUGAGAGCAGAACUGCGCAGAGCAGACUCAGGACACUUCCCUGGGGUGAUAGUAACUAUUCAAGAAGAACAGCUCUGUAAAGGACUACAAGGUUGAAGUUCAGGUAUUGCCUCACCUGCGCGACUUCCUUCCAAGUCAAGGGCUGUGCAAGAGUAACCAGAUUUUGGUAUUUAGCUAUGGUUACUCAUUAAAGGCGGGGAGGAGGAUGAGGAAGAAACGAUCGCAGAAUGAAACCUGCUUUUGCAAGUGUCACUGGAACGAGUUGCCAGAUUCUCUCACUUUGUCAUCUUUUGUGAAUGGGAAUGGUAGGAAGGCACUGGAGGACACUCAAGGCAAGAUGGAGGACUACUCACUGGGUCAACCCAUUGGAACCACAGCUUUGCACUCAGCUGCUGAAUUGCAUGGGGAUCCUGUCACUUGUAGUUCUGCAUGAACCAUGGAAUCAUUAAGGUUGGAGAAGACCUCUCAGAUCACCAAGUCCAACCCCAAACCGUCCCACCAUGCCCACUGACCAUGUCCCUCAGUGCCACAUCUCCAUGGAUUUGCAACACUUCCAAGGAUGGUGACUCCACCACUUCUACCAGUGGCUGUCCACACUUUCGGAGAGGAAAUGUUUCCCAGUAUCCAAGCCCAGGCUGAGACAAUAUCCUUCUACAGCUCCCCAAGGGUGACAGUUUGUGUUUUUCAGUAAGUAACUUCAGGCAUGUGGUUUGUGCAAGGCUUCUGAGGGUUUGUGCAAGCUGUGCAGGAGGGAAAGCAGCAGUCUACCCCUUGGAUGGAUUAACAUCAGAGGCAUAAGCCAUCCUGCAGACCCCUACAACGUCCUGGCUGGGAUGUGGCUGUGGAUGAGAAGAGCUCAGAUACACAAUCACCCAACUUGAUGAGCACGUCCAAGUGUGCCCUGAUAUUUUUGAGGAGACUACUGGGACAAAACUGGAGGCUGGGUGAGCCCAUACCCCAGCUCUGCUUUGUUUAUUCAUACAGAGUUGGCCUUGGGCACUGAACUCAUGAGCACCAAUAAGGGACAGAGCCUUAGGCCUGAGCCUUGCACCAGAGGUUGCUGCACACCCAGCAGUAUGCAUGGUGUGCCUGCUCCUUGCCUGUUGCACCUUGCAGCUUAUACUGAUGCAAGCUGGAGUCAUGCAGGUUCAAGUCAACGGAUUCUUCCAAGAACUCAAGAUUGCAAGGUUUGCUCUCUGCUUUCAGGACAAGAAGGAUGGAUGGUAGAGUAAAUCCUUUAAUCAUGCCACUAUAACUCCCUGGGUGAGGUCUUAACUUGAUCUCAAGCCUAAGCCUGCAUCUCUGUGUCUAUGCUGUUCCAGGACAGACCGACAUUGCUUCAACAGCUUGCACACCACAGCCCCCAGUACAGCCAGGACAUGCCAUGUGCCUGCUGAAAAAUCCUGAGAACACCAGAAAUAAGAAUCAAACAAUGAACGUGACAACCUCUCGUCCUUCACUGGCUGAUGUAAAAAUGACUCUCUGCAGCAGGGACGUGGUUGGUGGGGAUGGUGGGCAUGGGUUGAUGGUUGGAUUUGAUGAUCUUAGUGCUACUUUCCAACCCGUAAUGAUUCUGUGAUCUUAUCAUUUUGUAAACGAGACACAUGGCUCUUUCUGCCCCAUGGCUGGUCCUUUGCAACCUCCAUGUAUCACUGCAUGAACAAACUGCUCCAUUGAAUGACCAGCACCAAACCCAAUCCACCUUGCUGCUUCCCAAGAAGUUUUAAGACAAGAAAGCUCCUCGUGGUGCUCCACAG
ensembl:lncRNA